rnacentral:rRNA from 1 species
CCUACGGGGGGCUGCAGUCUAGAGGCUUCGGCAAUGGGGGCAACCCUGACCGAGCGACGCCGCGUGUGGGAUUGAAGGCCUUCGGGUCGUAAACCACUGUCAUUGGGAAAGAAUGCCCGGAUGGCGAAUCCGGGAGGGACGGUACCCAAGAAGGAAGCCCCGGCUAACUCCGUGCCAGCAGCCGCGGUAAUACGGAGGGGGCAAGCGUUGUUCGGAUUUACUGGGCGUAAAGGGUGUGUAGGCGGCUGCGAAAGUCUGGUGUGAAAUCUUCACCGCUUAACGGGAAGAGGUCACUGGAAACUGCGUAGCUCGAGUAUGGUAGAGGCAAGCGGAAUUCCUGGUGUAGCGGUGGAAUGUGUAGAUAUCAGGAAGAACACCGGUGGCGAAGGCGGCUUGCUGGGCCAUCACUGACGCUGAGACACGAAAGCGUGGGGAGCAAACGGGAUUAGAUACCCCGGUAGUC